AGCGGAUUAGAGCAGUUGGCAGCUCGCUUGGUUCAUAUCCAAGAGGUCGCAGGUUCAAGUCCUGCAUCCGCAA
rnacentral:tRNA from 1 species